UACAGAGGUCUCAAGCGUUGUUCGGAUUCAUUGGGCGUAAAGGGUGCGUAGGUGGCGUCGUAAGUGGGGUGUGAAAUCCCGGGGCUUAACCCCGGGACUGCAUUCCAUACUGCGGUGCUUGAGGACUGGAGAGGAGACUGGAAUUUACGGUGUAGCAGUGAAAUGCGCAGAUAUCAGGAAGAACACCCGUGGCGAAGGCGGUUCUCUGGGACGGUACUGACGCUGAGACGCGAAAGCGUGGGGAGCGAACAGG
rnacentral:rRNA from 1 species